rnacentral:rRNA from 1 species
UGGGGAAUCUUGGACAAUGGGGGCAACCCUGAUCCAGCGACGCCGCGUGGGUGGUAAGGCCUUCGGGUUGUAAAGCCCUUUCACCGGGGAAGAUGAUGACAUUACCCGGAGAAGAAGCACCGGCUAACUCUGUGCCAGCAGCCGCGGUAAUACAGAGGGUGCAAACGUUGCUCGGAAUGACUGGGCGUAAAGCGCGCGCAGGUGGCCCGUUAAGUCGGCUGUGAAAUCCCCUGGCUCAACCAGGGAAGUGCAGUCGAUACUGGCGGGCUCGAGUCCCGGAGAGGGUGGUAGAAUUCCCAGUGUAGAGGUGAAAUUCGUAGAUAUUGGGAGGAAUACCGGUGGCGAAGGCGACCGCCUGGACGGGUACUGACACUGAGGCGCGAAAGCGUGGGGAGCAAACAGGAUUAGAUACCCGUGUAGUCC